AAGCGGCAACAGCUCAAAUUUGAAAUCUGGCGCAAGCCCGAGUUGUAAUUUGUAGAGGAUGUUUCUGGCGACGUGCCUUCCGAGUUCCCUGGAACGGGACGCCAUAGAGGGUGAGAGCCCCGUACGGUUGGAUGCCUAGCCUCUGUGAAACUCCUUCGACGAGUCGAGUUGUUUGGGA
rnacentral:rRNA from 1 species